rnacentral:rRNA from 1 species
GAUGAACGCUAGCGGCAGGCCUAACACAUGCAAGUCGAGGGAGAAGCCCUUUCGGGGGCAGAAACCGGCGCACGGGUGCGUAACGCGUAUGCAACCUACCUUUCACAGGGGGAUAGCCCGAAGAAAUUUGGAUUAAUACCCCAUAAUAUUAUUGGAUGGCAUCAUUUGAUAAUUAAAACUGCGGUGGUGAAAGAUGGGCAUGCGUCCUAUUAGCUAGUUGGAGUGGUAACGGCACCCCAAGGCUACGAUAGGUAGGGGUCCUGAGAGGGAGAUCCCCCACACUGGUACUGGGACAGGGACCAGACUCCUACGGGAGGCAGCAGUGAGGAAUAUUGGCCAAUGGUCGGAAGACUGAACCAGCCAUGCCGCGUGCAGGAAGAAUGCCUUAUGGGUUGUAAACUGCUUUUAUAUGGGAAGAAUAAGGCGUACGUGUACGUUGAUGACGGUACCAUAUGAAUAAGCAUCGGCUAACUCCGUG